GGACACAUGGGCAGAUAAUUUUUUUAUUUUUUUAUUUUUUGCCAGCUGAUCAAAGAAGGAGUGAUUUCCCUUCGUACUGCAGUUUCCUGUAGAAGCUGUGGUGUGUUUUACCUGGCAGAGCCUCAUUGAGAGAUUGCAAGUUUAGCAUCAGUGCAGUUAUACUUGUUGAAGAGUUGGCUUAUGUACAAGUGUCUGCUGUGUAAGUUAUUCUAGUAUUAGAGUACUUCGUCAUGAGUGAAUUUUUUCUGCUCUUCUAGCUCUUCCGCGUUUAUGAAACAGACAUGUGGAAUAAAGAUACAGAAAACAUGUAUGGAUCACAGCUGCCCUAAUAACAGAGGAAGUCAUUCAGAAAAACAAGUGGCCAACAGGGGAAAGUUGUGGUUCCCUAAACAGAAGACUCCAUUCUGGAAAAACAGCCUUUACUCCAAGGAAUGCAGUCAUCUUCACUAGAGGCUUACCUCAUUGGAGUUGUUAUAGAAAAACUCAUCAUCCUCAUCACCAGAAUUCUCUCAAGGGGACCUGACUCCUGUCUUAUCAUUUAUUUAAAAUCCAGAUCUUCUCUACUGAAGAUCUGGUUCAUGUUUAUGAAGAGACUGGAAAGAAAAGAUGCUGUGAAAGUGAAGAACGUAUUGUUAAGAAGUUUAUGAGGAGAAGACAGCAGCAGCAAAGUUCAGGAUGUUGUUGGAGUGCAUAUGAUCACAUUCUACUUCACUAAUUAAAGUUUGUACAGUGAGUCUAUGCAGAAUCAUACAAACCCUGUGAAACUAAGGUUGGAUACUGCGUUGAUAAGAAGUAGAUGUUGUUCAGUUCCACUUCUUAAACAGCAACCUACUCGAUAACCCUGAUUUCAGGCAUAGUCAUUUUCAGAAAGCAUACUAAACAUAUGCACGGAGAAAAAAGGAGUCAUCUGUGGUGCCGGGGAAGGCUUCGCAUUAUGUGCUGAGCAAUACUCAAUGAAUGAUGAUUCUGAUGUUUUUGCAUGAUUCCUCCCAUAUUAAUAAAAACCAGCUAUUCAAAGGUUCAAGAACCCACAAUGAAACCUGAAAACCAGCUCUGGAGUCCUCACUACUGAUUGAAGACAAUUGUGCAUGAAGAACACAGUUGCAGAUCAGAGGAACUGAACUGAUUAAUACUAACUAAGAAUCCUGCUUGCUACUACAAAAGAAAGGAAACCAGAGCAGAAAAGUCUCAAGUAUAAUAACCUAAGGAUGGCAUUCAGCAAGGAUUUGCAGAUGCACUCAUUCAAAGGCUCCUCCAACAAUGCUGCUUUUCCAAACUAGAGAUGAAAGGUACAGGUAGAGAGUCAACUGCCUAAUUGUCACCAGGCUAAAUACUUCUUAACUUACUUAUGAUGGGAUAAAUCCUGGAGUACUUGCUGCUUACACAAGAGGAUUUCAACACAGAAUAAUGUUCCAGAAAGUGGGCAAUGGGAAAGAUUAAGGGCUAUAAAUUCUGCAUCCAAACAGAGGCAGAACCACAGCAUCAACUGUCAGAAGCUCUGAAGGAGCUAUUUCUUCUGACUCAGAAAUACAUGUAAAUAGAGAAAUAUCCUGGGAAUUCAGAUAUAUGAUAUGAAAGUCAUGCUUUCUGGUUGUGAAAGGGACCACAAGUAAGUCCUCCAUGUGCACACAGAUUGGAUCUUCAAUUUAAAAACAUCAAAAUGUGAAUUAUACAGAGGCUAUCCAGCACUAUGGUCUUUGUGGAAGCACUGCUCAUGAUGUCUGGAAGAACUUUUGGAUCAUUCUUGCCUCCAGCUUCCUCUCCCUGCCUGCAUGCAAGGGAUUACCACAGGUCAGCUUGCAGAGAGAAUCACAGAAGAUUUGGGUUGGAAGGGACCUUAAAACCAACUAAUUGAAACCCCCUGCCACCUCUCACUAGCCCAGGCUUCCCACAUCUCCAUCCGGCCUUGGGCACUUCAGAGUUGUGGCAUCCACAGCUUCUCUGGGCAGCCUAGGCCAGGACCUCACCACCCUCACAGCAAGGUAUGGACAGACAUAGCCCAGAGUUGUGGCAGCCAUUAAUAGAUCAAACAAGCCCAUGCAGCUGUGUUUUGAUCAGUGGAAAGGUUUCUGGCAACCAAGAGCUGAAAUCACCUUUUGGGUCAUCACACCUCACUGGAGGUUUCCCUGCUUUAAUGAGCAUCUCAGAAACUGUAGAGAGGACUGGAGAAUGGGGGUCGUUGUACAUUCUUGUAUUUGAAAGCAGCUCCAUAGUAUCCGCAAGAGGAUUCUUGGCACCUGCCUAGUUAAACUGGAUGUCCAGUGUUAUCUCUCCAGGCAAGUAAGAUUCUGGCAAUCACUGUAGUCCUAUUUCACUUGUUCUCAGUCUUUUUGACACAAACACAUUAAUUCCCCCAAGCUUCUUUGGCAGCUGUAAGAAGUUCUCUCCUUUUUUUAAUAUGAUUGAUAAUAUUGAAUAUUUCUUUUAACCUUUUACUGCAUUUGCUGGGCUAGGUGAUAGUUUCUCUAUUCGGAUGUUAAUCUCCAGCAUGCAAUACCAUGUCUUCCAAUCGCCUACUCAUUAUGGAGCUCAUUUGUAAUGUUGCCAUUUAAAUUACAACUGCCUACCAAGCUCCACCUAGGACUGUCCUACAACAUAUAAUGUCAUUCUUCCAACACUUCCACUGUCAAAGGUCAUAUAAAGCAAACCACUGCUUAAUACAGAAACUCCUUCUAGUUUAGCACAGAAAGAAUGGCAGCCCUUGGGCAAAAUUUGACUGUGUCGUUUCAUAUGAUGCACUGGAAAGAAAUACGUUCUGGAAAAGGUGCCAAUAAUGAAGGUUCCCUGAUUCAGUGCAGGAAAUGGCCUGAAAUAUACAGGCAAAAAAAAAUGCCGUCAUUGUCUUCACUUCCAAUUUCUCAGGAAAAGAAAAGGUUGUUUGAGGAGACACAAAUAUAUAAAAACAAAACGACCUCCCAGGCUGACUUGAAAUAUGUUCAAACUACACAUCCACUCCCUGCUCCCUAGAACCCAGUAAAUAUUUCUUUGGCCCCACAAAAUAUUUUAG